UACGUAGGGUGCAAGCGUUGUCCGGAAUUAUUGGGCGUAAAGAGCUCGUAGGUGGUUUGUCGCGUUGUUCGUGAAAACUCACAGCUCAACUGUGGGCGUGCGGGCGAUACGGGCAGACUUGAGUACUGCAGGGGAGACUGGAAUUCCUGGUGUAGCGGUGGAAUGCGCAGAUAUCAGGAGGAACACCGGUGGCGAAGGCGGGUCUCUGGGCAGUAACUGACGCUGAGGAGCGAAAGCGUGGGGAGCAAACAGG
rnacentral:rRNA from 1 species